rnacentral:lncRNA from 10 species
AGAGUGCUUCUGCUGAAAAAUUUGGAGGUUUGUGUCUGGAGUUUUGUUCUUUGUAACUCUCUCAUCAUCGAGGCUAUAUAUUAAUAGACAUGGUAUUAAGCCCACACGAAACAUUCAGAAUUAGAAUUGGAUUAAGAAGACGCGUUUUGGCAUCACGCUGACUACUCCUCAUCUCCGUCCUCGGGGAGGGUGAUGCCAGCGUGGGACUCUUUGGAAGGCCUAUCAAUCACAGCUCAGGAGCCAAAGCUCAGCCAGCCCGAAGGAGCCAGGAUUAGAGCCUGCAUGGAUGCAACAGUCACGCUUCUCUCUAUUACGUGUCUUGCAACUUGGAGUCACAUGAUCUCAGCAUCUGAUCCACCCUGGGCUCAGAACCUCCCAGAACCUCCCAGAAUCGAG